AGUGAACGCUGGCGGCAGGCCUAACACAUGCAAGUCGAACGGGAGGAGGGUAUUAGCUUGGCGGUACGGGGGGCGACGGGUGGGCGGGUGCGGUAGACAGGGGAAUUACCUUUGUAGAGGGUGGUUAAGACGGCGAAGGUACGGCAGCACCGCGUAGGAUCCACGGGUGAAAGCAUGGGAGCUUGGGUACUUAGGUGAUUGUAUGAGCGGUUGUCGAGUUGGUGAGUGGUCGGGGUAACGGCCCGCCAAGGCGACGCUCUGUAGCUGGGCUGAGAGGAGGAUCAGACACACUGGAACUGGAACACGGUCCAGACUCCUACGGGAAGCAGCAGUGGGGAACAUUGGACAAUGGGCGUAAGCCUGAUCCAGCAAUGCCGCGUGGGUGAAGAAGGCAUUCGGGUUGUAAAGCACUUUUGUUGGGGAAGAAGAGCAGCAGGUUAAUACCAAGCUGUUCUGACGGUACCUAAAGAAUAAGCACCGGCUAACUUCGUG
rnacentral:rRNA from 1 species